GGGCUUGUGGUCUAGGGGUAUGAUCUUCGUUUCGCACCUGUGAAAGCUUGGAUAGUCAUUAGACUUAUCUGAACAAUCAGUAAUAGUUGCCUAUGAAUGGUCCCGGGUUCAAUUCCCGGCGAGUCCA